CCCGUGUGCUUUCCCCUUUCGGGGGGUUGGUGGGGUGUGGGAGUGGCGGACGGGUGAGUAACACGUGAGUAACCUGCCCUGGGCGUGGGGAUAACCCUGGGAAACUGGGGCUAAUACCGGAUGGCUCGCAUCUCUCGCAUGGGGGGUGUGGGAAAGGUUCUCUCCUGUGAGGGGGGGUUCCGGCCUGGGAGGGGCUCGCGGCCCAUCAGCUUGUUGGUGCGGUGAGGGCGUACCAAGGCGAUGACGGGUAGCCGGCCUGAGAGGGUGAUCGGCCACACUGGGACUGAGACACGGCCCAGACUCCUACGGGAGGCAGCAGUGGGGAAUUUUGCGCAAUGGGCGGAAGCCUGACGCAGCGACGCCGUGUGGGGGAGGACGGCCUUCGGGUUGUAAACCCCUUUCGGCCCUGACGAAUGUGACGGUAGGGGCUAAAGAAGCGCCGGCUAACUACGUGCCAGCAGCCGCGGUAAUACGUAGGGCGCGAGCGUUGUCCGGAUUUACUGGGCGUAAAGGGCUCGUAGGCGGUUUGUCGCGUCGGUCGUGGAAAUGUGCGGCUUAACCGGGCACGUGCGGCCGAUACGGGCAGACUCGAGGGCGGUAGGGGCAAGCGGAAUUCCUGGUGUAGCGGUGAAAUGCGCAGAUAUCAGGAGGAACACCGAUGGCGAAGGCAGCUUGCUGGGCCGUUCCUGACGCUGAGGAGCGAAAGCAUGGGGAGCGAACAGGAUUAGAUACCCUGGUAGUCCAUGCUGUAAACGUUGGGCGCUAGGUGUGGGGACCGGGUGAUGGUGUCCGUGCCGUAGCUAACGCAUU
rnacentral:rRNA from 1 species